UACGUAGGGUGCAAGCGUUAAUCGGAAUUACUGGGCGUAAAGCGUGCGCAGGCGGCUUUGCAAGACAGAUGUGAAAUCCCCGGGCUUAACCUGGGAACUGCAUUUGUGACUUCAAGGCUAGAGUACGGUAGAGGGGGAUGGAAUUCCGCGUGUAGCAGUGAAAUGCGUAGAUAUGCGGAGGAACACCGAUGGCGAAGGCAAUCCCCUGGACCUGUACUGACGCUCAUGCACGAAAGCGUGGGGAGCAAACAGG
rnacentral:rRNA from 1 species